AUUUCUAUGGAAAAGAGGUGAAGUGGACAGAAGGGAUGUCUGAAAUUCUAUCCUGAGGCU
rnacentral:snoRNA from 10 species